UACGAAGGGGGCUAGCGUUGCUCGGAAUCACUGGGCGUAAAGCGCACGUAGGCGGAUUGUUAAGUCAGGGGUGAAAUCCUGGAGCUCAACUCCAGAACUGCCUUUGAUACUGGCGAUCUUGAGUCCGGGAGAGGUGAGUGGAACUGCGAGUGUAGAGGUGAAAUUCGUAGAUAUUGGGAAGAACACCGGUGGCGAAGGCGGCGACCUGGUCCGAGACUGACGCUGAGGCGCGAAAGCGUGGGGAGCGAACAGG
rnacentral:rRNA from 1 species